UCUGGUCUCAGGAAUGCAGGCUGCCCUGGCAUCUCCUGCUGACCUUUCCACACAGAGCCUCACUAGCACUGCUUAGGGGUGACCAUUAACUGCGAUCCCAACCUUAGGAGCCUCAACAGGGUCUUUAGCUUCCAGCCUGUCGCCUGCCUCAGUUACCUUCCUUCCUGCCUACUCAAGCCAGGUGAGAGCAGGGCCAGUCUGAGGCACUGGGUAAACAAGUCAGCACCACAGGGUGCAGGGAGGGGAGGGGGCGCUGUUCUGGAGGGCGGCCCACACCUAGUCUCCUGCCAUCCAGUGCUGACCUAGACUGCUGCCUUAUCACCUCUCUCACCAUGUCAGACACCUGAGGAAUUAGGGUUAAAUCAGAUCUGGGUAACUGCUGGGGCAACACCCUGCAGUGAGUGUCUGAGGCUAACCUGGUCACUUACACAGAGAAAGCACAUGAAACUGGGGUGUGGAGUGCUUAGACCAGCAUGUAAGGGACCCAGCAUCAAAUUCCAGGCUCACGCAACAAGGAAACCUUAAGUGUCUAUGCCACAGGGUUGACCUCUGAGCAGAACCCCCCACCCCCACUGUACAGUGGGAAAUGAUACAUUACAGCUUGACCUGGGCCCUGCCCAGGCUGUAGGCUGUGGCUCUGUUCCCAGGAAGGGCUAGGACCUGCCCGUAAGCUACAUUCUGUGCUUGGCUCCCGGCAGUGCAAAGGUCCGCUGAACCCCAGACAGAAAGCCACUGGGUUUUCCUACCCAGGACAGAAUAAAUCAACUGCUUCCAUCUUGCCAGGGGACAGUUACCUGUACCCAAGAGCCAGCCUCAUGGGAGCACCUCAAGAUGCUUUGAUGGCCCGGUGCCCUUUUGAGCCUCAAUCAGGCAAGGACCUAAGGCCAGAAUGGGCCAAACUCCAUGCUGGGAGCAAGCUGAAUGUGCUGGGCCCUGGCCACUGGAAAUCCCAUCAAGAAUGAUAAUCCACAGUCCUCACUCCCAGGCAAGUCCCUGACCAGUCCUAGAACAGAUGAGCGCAGCCUCAAGUUCUGGUCCCAGCCCAGAGGGGACUUCCAUCUCCUUCCUUUGCUAGGGUCACUGCCAGGGUCGUCUGAUACAGCCCCUGUGGAGUAUGGAGAGCCUGCAAGCUCACCCCAAGGGGGACAGGGACUGCUGGGGACAUCUGACUGAGACUCCUCCAAACCUAGGGAGGGGAACUGCCACUCAGAAACUCCCCACCCACCCUCCAUGUGUGAUCCCAGGCAGUCCGCCAAGCUUAGGACACAUCACUCCCAGGCACCUCUGUACCCCAAGAAACCCACAGGCUCACCGCUCAUCCCCCUUCCAAACCACGUCUUCCAAGCCUUGAGGUCAGCAACUCGGCAACUCCUCCACCCCAAGGUUGUCUCCCAAUCCCUUCUCCAUCCUCACACCACCAAAUUUCUAGCCACCUCACUCCCACCCACAUUCCCAAACUUGCGGCCCUCCUGCCAGGCACUUCUGUAUCCCAAAUCUCCUGAGCCACCUCCCCACAUGGUCCCCCAAGCAUGGACAUACUGAAAUGGUAGCUCCUCCCACUCUAGUCCCCCUAGUAGCCCCAAACCUUGGAGACAGCCUUUCAGGAACCCAGGUAACACUAAAGUGGCAGGUCUCUCUAACUAGAUGCCCUCCUAAUUUAGGGACUGUGACUCCCACCCUGUUCCCAGAGUGGAUACACCAAGAUUGCAGUUCCAUUGACUCCCAGGUUUUCCAAAUUUGGGAACUCCCCAAAGUGGCAGCUUCUUCGGCCGCCAGAUCUCUCCAAACCUGGAGAAAGCCACCCGCAACACUGCUGUCCACCACCCGGGUCCCACAAACCUCUCCCAGAUAUCCUGCAAUUCCCUCCUGCCCAUGAUUACUUUCCAGCCCUGUCUCUCAGGUGGAGGAAUCCUCAACGUGGUGGCUUCUUUUAUCCUCAGGCCCCAACACCAGGAGGAAUUCAAUCUCCAGGGUUGCUUCCCAGCCCUGUUACCCAGGCGGAGACAUCAAUAUGGUCAAGAUAAUAGCUCUUCGACCCUGGACGCCCCUACUCAACCUUGGAGAUGUUGCCCCAGAAUCUGUCUUCCAGCUUCAGGGUCACCUCCUCCCACACUUCCCUAACUCCCCCAAACCUAAGCCAAUUAUAGUCAUUGUUGUAUCCCCAAA